GGGGCUGCCAGGCUGCAGCCGGCGCCGCCACUCCCGGGAGCAUGAAGGACCGAACCCAGGAGCUCCGCACGGCCAAGGACAGCGAUGACGAUGAUGAUGUCACUGUCACCGUGGACCGAGAGCGCUUCAUGGACGAGUUUUUUGAACAGGUGGAGGAGAUCCGUGGCUUCGUUGACAAGAUCUCGGAGAGCGUGGAGGAGGUGAAGCGGAAGCACAGUGCCAUUCUGGCCUCCCCCAACCCUGACGAGAAGACAAAGGAGGAGCUGGAGGAACUCAUGUCUGACAUAAAGAAGACGGCGAACAAAGUUCGUUCCAAGUUAAAGAGCAUGGAGCAGAGCAUCGAGCAGGAGGAGGGCCUGAACCGCUCCUCCGCCGACCUGCGGAUCCGGAAGACACAGCACUCCACGCUGUCCCGGAAGUUCGUGGAGGUCAUGUCCGAGUACAACGCAACACAGUCUGACUACCGUGAGCGCUGCAAGGGCCGCAUCCAGAGGCAGCUCGAGAUCACUGGUCGGACCACUACCAGUGAGGAGCUGGAGGACAUGCUAGAGAGUGGGAAUCCAGCCAUCUUUGCCUCGGGGAUCAUCAUGGACUCCAGCAUCUCGAAGCAGGCACUGAGCGAGAUUGAGACACGGCACAGUGAAAUCAUCAAGCUGGAGAACAGCAUCCGUGAGCUUCAUGACAUGUUCAUGGACAUGGCCAUGCUCGUUGAGAGCCAGGGUGCUUUCCUGAAGUCCUGCCCUGGGGGAGCCCUUGAGCUCGGAUCCCCCCCGGCCUGCAGGGGGAAAUGAUAGAUAGGAUCGAGUACAACGUGGAGAACUCGGUGGACUACGUAGAGAGGGCUGUGUCUGACACCAAAAAGGCCGUCAAGUACCAGAGCAAGGCCCGCCGGAAGAAAAUUCUGAUUGUCAUCUGCUGUGUGGUCCUGGGCAUCGUCAUUGCCUCCACUUUCGGGGGCAUCUUUGGAUAGAAACCACCCUCUGCCGCCUCACUCCGGAUGGUCCACCCAGGAGGCUCCCUGGCUGCUGCCGCCUAGCUGAGUAGCCCUCUGCACCCCGCCGCUGGCUCAGAGCACCCCACCCCACGUGCUCCUCUCUGCCACAGGGCCCUCCAUCCCCGCCCUGCCCUCAGCCGUGUUGUCUGCAUGAUCUCUGUGAGUGUGUGUCUGUACAGAAGAGGCAGAGGGGAGCCAGGCUGGGCAGCGGCCCAGGGGGUGGGGACAGGUGUCAGCACGGGACAGACUCAGGCCCUGGCCACCUCACCCUCACUGGCCAGGGCUACCCCUCCCCUUGCCUUCAGUGAUUCCCCUCGGGCCUGGGCUCAGCCCUCUCCUGGCACCAAGGCUCUCUCUGAACCACAGUCUUGCCUCCAACUGACCCGCCCUAUCCUCUGGCCUCUCCAGCUGUCCCAAGCCCAGCCCCUGAGGGGUGGGGACCAGCUGGCCACAUGGUGCUGCUUUUCAGGUUAGGGGAGGGGUGGCCCUGAGGGGGACAGCCCAGCUCUAAGCCUCUGAUAGCCAAUCACUGCCAGGGAGGCUGAGGGUACCAUGGCCUCUGGCCACCUCAGGACCAGGCCCCCUCCCCUACCUCAGGGCAAAACCAAAAGGUCUCCCUUGGCUGAGGCCCUGCUUCAUUCUCCCCUCAAACCCCUCCCCACACUCCCACAGCUCAAGAGUAACCCCUUUGGGCUAAGUCUGCCCCACAUGACCCUCUGGAAGAGGCUGGCUGGUGCCCUGUCCCAGUGCCCCUGGAGCUGGGGAGACAGACCAGACCCCGUCAGCCCCUGCCUGGCUGCCGUCCACAGCCGACCCAGCCACUGACCCCAGCAGGCCUUGGGUCCCCAAGCCAUUGUGUUGCAUGUUUGGGACAGUGGUCCCUGCUCUCAUGCUCCGGGAAGUCAGGACUGUCACUUCAGGCCUACAGUCACAUCCUACCCUUGCUCUCCCCCACUGAUGUGACACAUGGGCAUCAGAUGUCUCAGAUGCAGUAUUCAGCAGCCAGCCAGGGAGGGCCCCGGCCACCCCAAGCCUUCUCUCUGGUCAGCAAGGCCCCGCCCGAGCCCCUCUUCCUCCUUGACAGGCAGGGAGUGGGCCCUCCCUCAGCUUUGCACCUGCUGUGACCACUGUCCGCGUUGCCUUCUUCAGUAGCCACUUGACUCCCCACCUCCACCCCUUCACCAAAGGUCUUGGUACGACCAGCUGCCCAUUUUGUGGACUUUUUAUGUAGAAUAAACAUUUGUAUCUGUACCAAGCCUCUUCCCUGCAAUUCUUCCUGUGGGCGUGCCACAGCCUUGGAAGGUGCAGGUGAACGUGUGUGGCCCUGAGGGGACAGGGCUCGGAGGCAAAGGAUCUCAAACAGGCACAGGCCUUCUCUCAGGCCCACUCUGGCCCUGUAGGGGAAGUACCAUUCAGUGGAUAACCUUCAACCUUUGGGAGCUGACAUCUGGGCAAGACCCCAGGAUCAGGUGUGAGUUCUGGGACCCUGAGCCUCAUCCAUCUCGCAGGCAACCAGUCCCUCUGGCCCCGCCCUCCCACCUCCUUGGGGCCUGAGCCUGCUGUGUCUGGCACUGCCCUCCCCUAGUCCCUCUCACCACUUUCCCCAAAAGUCUCAGGCAACCAUAGACCCCCCUCCUAUCAGCCUGCUAGACCACCCCCCACAGCCCAGUGCAGGGCCUGCCCUUUUGGCCUCCAGUGAUCUGGCCCCUUGGCCAAAGGCAACUGAGUGCCGGGCUGCUAAGCAGCCAUGAAAGCCCAGCCCAGGGCAGCUGGGCCGGGAGAUGCCUUCAAACCAAAGGGGGGCCAGAGACUGGGCAGAGGUCUCAGGCGACAGGCACCCCUGCUACACUUCAUGCUGAUCACGCCUCCAACUGAUUCUCUUUAGUAUAGUAAACUCUCAAUUACAGAAAUCCACCUGUGUUCCUCACAAAUGAAAAGAAUGCUUUUAUAAACAUUCAAGAACUAAUUCCUGCAAUCAAACAGUAAUGCUACCAACAGAGGAACUCAGAAAAUAUGUUUGGGGCCACAGGGCUGGAAA